UACGAAGGGUGCUAGCGUUGCUCGGAAUCACUGGGCGUAAAGCGCACGUAGGCGGAUUGUUAAGUCAGGGGUGAAAUCCUGGAGCUCAACUCCAGAACUGCCUUUGAUACUGGCGAUCUUGAGUCCGGGAGAGGUGAGUGGAACUGCGAGUGUAGAGGUGAAAUUCGUAGAUAUUCGCAAGAACACCAGUGGCGAAGGCGGCUCACUGGCCCGGUACUGACACUGAGGUGCGAAAGCGUGGGGAGCAAACAGG
rnacentral:rRNA from 1 species